rnacentral:rRNA from 1 species
GGACGAACGCUGGCGGCGUGCUUAACACAUGCAAGUCGAACGGAAAGGCCCUGCUUUUGUGGGGUGCUCGAGUGGCGAACGGGUGAGUAACACGUGAGUAACCUGCCCUUGACUUUGGGAUAACUUCAGGAAACUGGGGCUAAUACCGGAUAGGAGCUCCUGCUGCAUGGUGGGGGUUGGAAAGUUUCGGCGGUUGGGGAUGGACUCGCGGCUUAUCAGCUUGUUGGUGGGGUAGUGGCUUACCAAGGCUUUGACGGGUAGCCGGCCUGAGAGGGUGACCGGCCACAUUGGGACGGAGAUACGGCCCAGACUCCUACGGGAGGCAGCAGUGGGGAAUAUUGCACAAUGGGCGGAAGCCUGAUGCAGCAACGCCGCGUGCGGGAUGACGGCCUUCGGGUUGUAAACCGCUUUCGCCUGUGACGAAGCGUGAGUGACGGUAAUGGGUAAAGAAGCACCGGCUAACUACGUG